UCAUCUCAUCUCCUUCCAGUAUCUCCUUCCGAAAUACUCCAAGACUGAAGAACUUCGAAGGUGCUAGGGUUCCAUGUCUAUUCGAUCAUCUCCUUCCAAAAAUACUCCCAAGAGAGUCUGAGGAACACUUCGAAGGUGCGAUUGAAAGGUUUAAUCGAAGGUGCUGCUGAUUGAUUCUCUCUUUCGAAGGUGUGAUUGAAGAGGUUUAAAUAAACCCAACCCACUGAACUAAAGUCGAGAAUCAUGCAAACUUACCGGGCAAGCUUCGAAGGUACAAUUUGGAUUAAAGGUGACAUUUCUCAGGCUACAGAGGUGUAUUUCAAUGAGAAAAUGCCAUUUCACCUCAAAAAGUUUCCAUCGGAUGAAGAACCAAAGAAGAUAGUGAAGGCUUUAAGGGAGAAUUGGCACCCCAACUUUGCCAACAUCUCCCCAAUUUUUCA